GGCUGAGGCAGGAGAAUCACUUGAACCUAGGAGGCAGAGGUUGCAGUGAGCCAACUCCAGCCUGGCUGACAAGAGCAAGACUCCAUCUCACAAAAACAAAAGAAAAUUAAAAAUCUAUAAAUGUACUGGGGGCACUAGGAGGAGAACGUUUUUAUGGUUUUAAGAUGGAGAAAACAAACAUAUUUGUAGAACAAGGAGCCAGUACAAAGGGAAACAGGAAGAAGCCAAUGAGAGCUAAAAGCUGGACUAGAGUCAAAGGGCAGGCUGGAGGGAUGGACUCGGCCCCCAGUGUUUCCCUCUCCUGUGGUGAGGGGGAUGCUGCCUGCUGAGUGUCAGGUCACGUGUCUUCUCCCCCAGGAGGACCCCCCACAGCAGCACCCUGGCCUUGCAGCGCCAUCUUGACCUGGUACUAGUGCACAAGCCAACAGGCAUGAACCCGAAUCAGGGCUGAGUCAGCAGGUGGUGCAGUCUUAAGGGAGGGAACACCGUAGCCUCUGUCAGGAUUGGGGAUGCCAAGAAUUUAGGACAGAAGGAUACUACAUCACAUGCAGGCCAGGAUUGAUAUAUCUGGGGCUAGAAACAAAAACUCAAAGAAAAAGUCAACCUACAGGAUGUAAUAGAGGAUUUCUAAUUUUGUUUUUCUAGAGUAUGUAGACAUCUUGAUCAAGAGUCAAGUCACUGGAGCAAGUAAUGUUUCUUUAAUUUUCUCGGUUGUGAAAUAGAAUUAAUUGCUAAUAUUCACUUUUCUUAUAGAAACAUUGAGGUUUAUACAUAUACACAUAUUUAUAUUUCUAUAAAUGUAUAUGGGUGCUUUUUUAAAAAGAAGAUAUUUAAGUAUCUCAUGGGAAGAGCAUUUCAUUAUUUUGGAGUGACACAAAAUACUGCAACUCUGGAGAACAGAGACUAGGUUAAAACUAGAAUAAGGUCCUAUGAUAUUUAUCUGGGUUAAAACUAGAAUGAGGUCUGAUAAUGUGUAACUAGUUUAAAACUAGAACAAGGUCCUAUGAUAUUUAACUAGGUUGAAACUAGAAUAAGGUCUGAUGAUAUUUAACUGGAUUAAAACUAGAAUAAGGUCCAAUGAUAACUUUUCUCUGAAUCUCUUGCCUUUGGAAAACAAGUAUCUCCUCACCUUUCCUUUAAAAAUUAGCACAUAAAUACAGGGAGAAGACAGUUUCCUCACUCCUUUCUGCUUUUGUGCUCUGCCACUCGAGGGAACAGUAAACUUUCUACCUACCAUAAAUGCCACUUGAGCUCCUAGAACCAACAUCCCCUCCUUAGCAAAGGCAAAAUGGUAUGACUGGGUUAAACAGAGCCAGACAGCUGUGUCCGGGCAGGAUCUCUGCACUGAGGGUCAGGCCUGAGACCCAUGGGGAGUCAUUCGUUCAUAUCUUGUGCUCUGCGCCGGGCCUGUGCGGGAGCAGCAUUCCUGCUGAGUGCACACCAAGCCCCAGCCAGCCUGCAGCCCCACUGUGACCAUCCCGGGCUGCACCAGGUGACCUCUUGCCCCCUGCCACCCUUGGGAUCAUGUUGGCCAGAGGGAAAUCUGCCUCCCAGAAACGAUGUUCUCUACCUCUGGCAAGCUGUCCCCCCAAACCCCCAGAAGAAGGCCAGACUUCAGACAGACCAUCAGUGACAUGGUGACAUGGGCCUGCUUUCUUGAGAAGCCUCUGUCCUCACCCUUUCCCUACAGAGGCCCCAGCCUGGUCCCAUCAUCAAAUAGUACAGCUGCUGUUAAGGUGUCCAGCUGCCUCCCUCGUGACCCACGUGAGGAAACAGAGGCCUGCAAGGGUCAGUGGUUUGCCCAAGGGAGCACAGGAUGUUAGUGACAGGUGAAAUGACAGCCCUGCCAUACCACGAGACAAUCCAUAUUCUAAGCAGGAACUCCUGGGAUCCCAGAACUAUAUUUCUAGGUUUCUCCAGUUACACAUUCUCACCCUUAUAAGGAGAUGGCCAGUGUUUUGUUUUUUGUUUUUUUUUUUUUCAUUCCUCCAUGGCUGUGCAUGAAAACAAAUAUCUGGGGCCAGCUAAAGGGGAAGUAUAUACUUUUGUUUCAGUGAAUCAUAAGCAAAAUAUCACUGGCAGGGAAAAGAGGUUUGAUUUUCCCUCUCAUUUGUCCCAAUCUUAGGAGAUCCAUGUGUACUGUGUAUAUGAACGGACUCUUCCAAACUCAUGGCCUCACAAGGGACAGGGGAGGAUGCUAAAAAUGAGACCAGGGACCCUGAUUAAUGACAACCCAUGAAGUACAUGUCUUGGACUCACUAGAGAGAGCUCCCACAGGCAAUGAACAUUAAAGCAAAGAACAGGACAGCUGCUUUGGGCGGGAGGAGCACGUGCUGGUCCCUUACCUCCUUGCCUUCCACAUGUGCACCACCAUGGAACAAAGCCUCCUCGGUCAUUCUGAGUCCAGACCCAGCCCUCUAGACUUUUCCUCCUCCAGUCUUCCUGAGAACUAGUAGUGACGACUCUUGACCACACUGCACCAAGCCAGGUGCCACCAGCUUCCUUGGGAAGCGGAAGUGGCAGCAGAAGAGAGGGGCACUGACAUCUCUGGGGAAGGUGCCCUCUUCCAGGCAGGAAUAUGAGGUCACAUCUCACCACUGCAGCGCCCGGCACCACUCUCCAACCCUGCCGCCUUCUCCUCCAUCACCACGCCCCUCCCUGUCCAAAAGAUCUUUGAGGGACUGAAUGAAAAUAAGAGGUGUGGUUAUUGUGGAAUAAUUAGGCCCCAUGGGAGGAGAGGCAGUAUUGUGCUAAUGCCCCAGGGUUGUGAUUAGCUCAUGAUAGUGCCUGUGUCAUGACUUAAUUAUGCUGCCUCCUCACAAGCUAUUACUGCACAGUUGGAAUGCAGCAUCCAUGCUCUUUGGAGACAAAACGGCCACCUUGGGCUCCAUCGUCCUGAGCAUGUUUGGUCAAUGCAGGCAGUUUUCUUUCUGUUCACAAUGAUUUUAUUUCCUAAACCACAAAGCCACUAUGCUUUCGCUAUCGAAUUGUUCUAUGGAAAGUGUUUAAUGAGUGUACCGAAGGCAAAUUCGUGCUGUCUUCUGUUAAUACUGUUCUGUUGUAGCUUUAAAAAAAAAAAAAAGCAUUUUGCUAUCCAGGAAGAGUGGGAAGUAGGGUUAAUAUGAGAAUAUGAAUGCAUUUGUUCCUGGAGAGCAAGCUAGUUUCUGGGACAGACUUAUGUUACACAUGGCCUGCAGAUAAGCAGAUACAAGACAAGGAGGAAGGGGAACAUUCAUAUGGGAAUUUUUUUU